CGAAGGGUGCAAGCGUUAGUCGGAAUUACUGGGCGUAAAGCGUGCGUAGGCGGUUUUCUAAGUCUGCCGUGAAAGCCCCGGGCUCAACCUGGGAAUGGCGGUGGAUACUGGAAAGCUGGAGUGCGGUAGAGGAGGGUGGAAUUCCCGGUGUAGCGGUGAAAUGCGUAGAGAUCGGGAGGAACAUCAGUGGCGAAGGCGGCCCUCUGGGCCAGCACUGACGCUGAGGCACGAAAGCGUGGGGAGCAAACAGGAUUAGAUACCCUGGUAGUCCACGCCCUAAACGAUGCGAACUGGACGUUGGGCACAACUCGGUGCUCAGUGUCGAAGCUAACGCGUUAAGUUCGCCGCCUGGGGAGUACGCUCGCAAGAGUG
rnacentral:rRNA from 1 species